GAAAUGCGAUAAGUAAUGUGAAUUGCAGAAUUCAGUGAAUCAUCGAAUCUUUGAACGCACAUUGCGCCCUCUGGCAUUCCGGAGGGCACACCUAUUCGAGCGUCAUAU
rnacentral:rRNA from 1 species